AGUGAACGCUGGCGGUAGGCCUAACACAUGCAAGUCGAACGGCAGCACAGUAAGAGCUUGCUCUUACGGGUGGCGAGUGGCGGACGGGUGAGGAAUACAUCGGAAUCUACUUUUUCGUGGGGGAUAACGUAGGGAAACUUACGCUAAUACCGCAUACGACCUACGGGUGAAAGCAGGGGAUCUUCGGACCUUGCGCGACUGAAUGAGCCGAUGUCGGAUUAGCUAGUUGGCAGGGUAAGGGCCCACCAAGGCGACGAUCCGUAGCUGGUCUGAGAGGAUGAUCAGCCACACUGGAACUGAGACACGGUCCAGACUCCUACGGGAGGCAGCAGUGGGGAAUAUUGGACAAUGGGCGCAAGCCUGAUCCAGCCAUACCGCGUGAGUGAAGAAGGUCUUCGGGUUGUAAAGCCCUGUUGUUGGGAAAGAAAAGCAGCAGGUUAAUACCCCGCUGUUCUGACGGUACCCAAAGAAUAAGCACCGGCUAACUUCGUG
rnacentral:rRNA from 1 species